rnacentral:miRNA from 1 species
AGUCAGCCUGUGUUUUGAUGCUUUGAAGCCAGGCAUUGACUUCUCUCUAGCUAUGAAAGUCCUAGAUGGCAU